AUAAUUCCAAUGAAUCUUACCUUGAAGGCAACAUCAGUUCUUGGAACAUGACAUUGACCCUAGCUUGUAUGUUCUUUCAUGUCACAACUAUAUAAAUUCUCCGACUUUUUAAAAAAAUCGCAUGGCCAUAAUCAAAACAAAUAUUCUCUAGAAUAACCAAAACAUCUGAGCCCAUGCAAAUUCCAAAUUGGAAUCACUUGUAAUGAAUCAAAAUCCAAUUAGCUAGCUAACUGUACAUAUGUAGUGGGGCUGCUCUGCAUGACUUCAUAGACUCAAGUGGCUAAAUUAGCACCAGCAAGUUGCAAAGAUACAGACUUAGCUUUUCUAAAAGAUACAUGUAUAUAUGUGUGU
rnacentral:lncRNA from 1 species